AUAGCGUAUAUUAAAGUUGUUGCAGUUAAAAAGCUCGUAGUUGAACUUCAGACCUGGCUGGGCGGUCAGCUUAUCGGCUAGUACUGUCCGGCUGGGCCUUACUUCUUGGUGAGCCGGUGUGCCCUUUAUUGGGUGCGUCGGUGAACCAGGACCUUUACCUUGAGAAAAUUAGAGUGUUCAAAGCAGGCCUAUGCCCGAAUACAUUAGCAUGGAAUAAUAAAAUAGGACGUGCGGUUCUAUUUUGUUGGUUUCUAGAGUCGCCGUAAUGAUUAAUAGGGAUAGUUGGGGGCAUUGGUAUUGAGUCGCUAGAGGUGAAAUUCUUGGAUUUACUGAAGACUAACUACUG
rnacentral:rRNA from 1 species